rnacentral:rRNA from 1 species
GAUGAACGCUGGCGGCGUGCUUAACACAUGCAAGUCGAGCGGAAAUAUGCAAUCGGAGAGCUUCGGCAGGAAGAUUACAUAUUUUAGCGGCGGACGGGUGAGUAACGUGUGGGCAACCUGCCCUGUACUGUGGAAUAAUCACUGGAAACGGUGACUAAUACCGCAUGUCAUUGCGAGAGGGCAUCCUCUUGCAAGAAAAGGAUUUAUUCGGUACAGGAUGGGCCCGCAUCUGAUUAGCUAGUUGGUGAGAUAACAGCCCACCAAGGCAACGAUCAGUAGCCGACCUGAGAGGGUGAUCGGCCACAUUGGGACUGAGACACGGCCCAAACUCCUACGGGAGGCAGCAGUGGGGAAUAUUGCACAAUGGGCGAAAGCCUGAUGCAGCAACGCCGCGUGAAGGAAGAAGGGUUUCGGCUCGUAAACUUCUAUCAACAGGGACGAAAAAAAUGACGGUACCUGAAUAAGAAGCCCCGGCUAACUACGUGC